rnacentral:rRNA from 1 species
UAGGGAAUCUUCGGCAAUGGGGGCAACCCUGACCGAGCAACGCCGCGUGUGUGAAGAAGGUUUUCGGAUCGUAAAGCUCUGUUGUAAGAGAAGAACGUGUGUGAGAGUGGAAAGUUCACACAGUGACGGUAACUUACCAGAAAGGGACGGCUAACUACGUGCCAGCAGCCGCGGUAAUACGUAGGUCCCGAGCGUUGUCCGGAUUUAUUGGGCGUAAAGCGAGCGCAGGCGGUUUAAUAAGUCUGAAGUUAAAGGCAGUGGCUUAACCAUUGUUCGCUUUGGAAACUGUUAAACUUGAGUGCAGACGGGGAGAGUGGAAUUCCAUGUGUAGCGGUGAAAUGCGUAGAUAUAUGGAGGAACACCGGUGGCGAAAGCGGCUCUCUGGUCUGUACCUGACGCUGAGGCUCGAAAGCGUGGGGAGCAAACAGG